GACCGACGCCAACAUGCCGGACUUUCAGGCGGGAGCCGAGCGUGCCCAUACUCUGAUGCCACCAGCCCUAGCCGGUGCCAAUAUUAUUUAUGAAUCC
rnacentral:ncRNA from 1 species